AUUGAACGCUGGCGGCAUGCUUUACACAUGCAAGUCGAACGGUAACAGGGUGCUUGCACCGCUGACGAGUGGCGAACGGGUGAGUAAUGCGUCGGAACGUGCCGAGUAGUGGGGGAUAACGCAGCGAAAGUUGUGCUAAUACCGCAUACGUACUGAGGUAGAAAGUGGGGGACCUUCGGGCCUCACGCUAUUCGAGCGGCCGACGUCUGAUUAGCUAGAGGUGAGGUAAAGGCUCACCCAGGCGACGAUCAGUAGCGGGUCUGAGAGGAUGAUCCGCCACACUGGGACUGAGACACGGCCCAGACUCCUACGGGAGGCAGCAGUGGGGAAUUUUGGACAAUGGGCGAAAGCCUGAUCCAGCCAUGCCGCGUGUCUGAGGAAGGCCUUCGGGUUGUAAGGACUUUUGUCAGGGAGGAAAUCCCUAGUGCUAAUAACACUGGGGGAUGACAGUACCUGAAGAAUAAGCACCGGCUAACUACGUGCCAGCCGCCGCGGUAA
rnacentral:rRNA from 1 species